UGAUUCUGAGUUUGGAUGAGUUUUUUAUUAUUUUUUGGUGUUUCUUCUUUUUUUUCUUGUCCUUUAGAUGAUGAAUGGAAUGCUACAUUUAUAGAGAAUUGGUUGAACAAAUUUGGAUAAAUAUUUGGCAUUACUCAAUGGAUAUUGAUCAAAAACCAAAAAGAUGGUUAAAGGUACAAGUAGCCUUAUGCUCUAGCAUUGUUGCAAGUUGACAUUUCUUAGCUUUUUUCUCUUGGUUAGACAAGCUACCUCUAGUAUUCAUAAUGGAUAUCAUAACUUGUUGAAG
rnacentral:lncRNA from 1 species